AAAGCGUAAUCCGAAAAGCAUAUAGAGUAGGAA
rfam:Spinacia oleracea cultivar SynViroflay scaffold97100.con0002.1, whole genome shotgun sequence.